AAGCAUAUCAAUAAGCGGAGGAAAAAGAAACCAACAGGGAUUGCCCCCAGUAACGGCGAGUGAAGCGGCAACAGCUCAAAUUUGAAAUCUGGUCCCCUUUGGGGGCCCGAGUUGUAAUUUGAAGAGGAUGCUUUUGGCGAGGCGCCUUCCGAGUGCCCUGGAACGGGACGCCACAGAGGGUGAGAGCCCCGUAUGGUCGGACGCCGAGCCUAUGUAAAGCUCCUUCUACGAGUCGAGUAGUUUGGGAAUGCUGCUCAAAAUGGGAGGUAAACCCCUUCUAAAGCUAAAUACCGGCCAGAGACCGAUAGCGCACAAGUAGAGUGAUCGAAAGAUGAAAAGCACUUUGAAAAGAGAGUUAAACAGCACGUGAAAUUGUUGAAAGGGAAGCGCUUGCGACCAGACUUGCGCCCGUCGGAUCAACCGUCCCUCGUGGGCGGCGCACUCCGGCGGGCUCAGGCCAGCAUCAGUUUCUCGGGGGGGAGAAAGGCGGUGGGAAUGUAGCUCUUCGGAGUGUUAUAGCCCUCCGUGUAAUACCCCCUGGGGGACUGAGGACCGCGCUUUAUGCAAGGAUGCUGGCGUAAUGGUCGUCAGCGACCCGUCUUGAAACACGGACCAAGGAGUCGUCCUAAUAUGCGAGUGUACGGGUGUAAAACCCCUGCGCGUAAUGAAAGUGAACGGAGGUGAGAGCUUCGGCGCAUCAUCGACCGAUCCUGAUGUUCUCGGAUGGAUUUGAGUAAGAGCAUAUUGGGCCGGACCCGAAAGAAGGUGAACUAUGCCUGUAUAGGGUGAAGCCAGAGGAAACUCUGGUGGAGGCUCGCAGCGGUUCUGACGUGCAAAUCGAUCGUCAAAUAUGGGCAUGGGGGGCGAAAGACUAAUCGAACCUUCUAGUAGCUGGGUUUCAGCCGAA
rnacentral:rRNA from 1 species